rnacentral:rRNA from 1 species
UACGUAGGUGGCAAGCGUUGUCCGGAAUUAUUGGGCGUAAAGCGCGCGCAGGCGGUCCUUUAAGUCUGAUGUGAAAGCCCACGGCUCAACCGGGGAGGGUCAUUGGAAACUGGGGGACUUGAGUGCAGAAGAGGAGAGUGGAAUUCCACGUGUAGCGGUGAAAUGCGUAGAGAUGUGGAGGAACACCAGUGGCGAAGGCGACUCUCUGGUCUGUAACUGACGCUGAGGCGCGAAAGCGUGGGGAGCAAACAGG